UACGGGGGGGGCAAGCGUUGUUCGGAAUUACUGGGCGUAAAGGGCUCGUAGGCGGCCAACUAAGUCAUACGUGAAAUCCCUCGGCUUAACCGGGGAACUGCGUCUGAUACUGGAUGGCUUGAGAUUGGGAGAGGGAUGCGGAAUUCCAGGUGUAGCGGUGAAAUGCGUAGAUAUCUGGAGGAACACCGGUGGCGAGGGCGGCAUCCUGGACCAACACUGACGCUGAGGAGCGAAAGCCAGGGGAGCAAACGGG
rnacentral:rRNA from 1 species